UUACCAGGCACACCUGACUUCCAUUCACAAUCAAGCUCAGUACAAGAAAACCGGCUCUCCUCUCACUCAUCGCCAGAUUGUUUUUCUGCUCCCUAUGUGCACCUGCCAGAACUGAGCCUGCCUUCCUGCUGAUCAUCUGCCACAGCCUGCCACUUAUUCCUCACCACCAGACACCAUCUGCUUUCAUCGGGAUUGUCUCCUCACCACCUUGAUUAACUCUCUCUUACUUGCAAGUAAUGAGAUAAAAUAAACCUAACUACUAUCCAUUGUGCCUGUGUCUGAAUCUGCUACUGGGGUCCAAACUGGGAGCAAAUCAUAACAGGAGGAUUAAAAAACAUGAUGGACUCUUCAGAAGAGGUCAUUAUCUUCACUUGAGUCACCGGAUGCCACAAUCUUCUGAACAUAGUCCUACUGAGAAAUCCAGAGAGAGUUGUGUGGAGCUGAUAGUCUUCAUUAGCUUUGUAGCAACUCAUUUGGCAAUGGUUUGAACGUUACAGAUGUUCAUUAGUAUAAAAUAGUUAUGCACUAAAGCUUUAAAUAUAGAACUGUUACAUACUCUUCUUGGCCUAAACCCCAACAUUCAGGUUUGAUGGGCAUGUGGUUCUGUCCAUUCCUGGUGGCAUCCAUUACUGUCCAGUAUUUCAUUCUAACUGGUGCUGCUGCUGGCUGAAAGUCUUUUAUUCAUAAACCCUUAAAACUACAGACUGUAUUUAAUGUUGGAUAUAUGUUUGCUUAACUUUCCCAUAUCUUGUGUGUUUUCUUGAGGAAAAAGUCAAUCAAAACGUGAAAAGUACAGUUGCAGUGUCUUUCAUUAAAAUUUUUGGUGACAGUCCCUUAA